rnacentral:rRNA from 1 species
GACGAACGCUGGCGGCGUGCUUAACACAUGCAAGUCGAACGAAGUGGCGAACGGGUGAGUAAUACGUGGGUAACUGCCCUCCUUUUUGGGAUAAGCCUUGGAAACGGGGUCUAAUACCGAAUAAAGGGGGAUGGGCUGGCGGACUAUCAGCUUGUUGGUGGGGUGAUGGCCUGCCAAGGCGGUGACGGGUAGCCGGCCUGAGAGGGGAUCAGCCACACUGCGCUGGGACACAGCCCAGAGUCCUACGGGACGCAGGAGUGGGGAAUAUUGGGCAAUGGGCGCAAGACUGACCCAGCACCGCGGCGUGAAGGAAGACGGUCUUCGGAUUGUAAACUUCUUUAGACAGCGACGCGGUACCUGUAGAAUAAGCCACGGCUAACUACGUGCCAGCAGCCGCGGUAAUAC